CUGCGCCACCGAGCCUCCCGGAUUUAAAGCGGCAGGAGCUGGUUAGCCGGAUAGAAUGUGGGUGCCGAGGGCCGGUGGGGGCCACCGCAGACUUCUUUCUGUCCCUGCUCUUCAGCGUCUCUGAAACCCCUGGCAGCCUGCGGAGAAACGAUCUUUUCUUCGUCUCUCAGCUUAUUUGGGGCCUUUUUUUUUUUUUUUAACUUGGGUGGAGGAAGUGGCUUCUAGCGACGGACACACACGGUGCCAUUUGGUAUUGCGGAUGCUGGAGUCUGGUUAUUGAGUAGACAGAUGCUUGCUGGAACGUCCAGUGAAACUUUAUUUACAAAAUCAGGCGCCAGCCCUUGGGCCCUCGUUUGCGGAUAUUUUUAAAAUAGCUUUAAAUAUUAAUAAGCGUAUUAAAAUUGCCUUAAAUGUUAGUUAUCUUAAAUAUUGUUAGAUUAAUAUUAAUUAAUCUUGAUUGGCGACAUUUUUAGCGUCCCAUAAAUUUUGCUCCUUGCUGUGAUCUGGGUCCUGCUUCUUACUUGGCCCAUCUAUCCAUCCUGGAGUAGAAAAGUCCUGAAGCAUCUGGCCACCUAGAUGGCAUCUCAAUGUGUUACCCAGGCUGGUCUUGAACUCCUGGACUCAAUCCUCCUACCUUGGCCUCCCAAAGUGCUGGGAUUAUAGGUGUGAGUCAUCCUGUCUGGCCUAUUUUCUGAGGACUGAUUUUGUAUUUUAUUAUUAUUAUUUUAGGACCACAUAACUCUGUUUAGAAAAUGUUUCUAAUGUAUUGAGUGCUUCAAAGGUAUAUUAGUUCGAUUUCACACUGCUAUAAGGAAUUGCCUGAGGCUGAGUAAUAUAUAAAAUAAACAGGUUUAAUUGACUCAGUUCCAUAUAACUGGGGAGGCCGCAGGAAACUUACAAUCAUGGCUGAAGGUGAAGGGGAAGCAAGGCACAUCUUACUUGUUGGCAGGAGAGAGAGAGUGCAGGGGAAACUGCCACUUUUUCUUUUUUUUUUUUGGAGACAGAGUCUCACUCUGUUGCCCAGGCUGGAGUGCAGUGGCGCAAUCUUGGCUCACUGCAAGCUUGGCCUCCCGGGUUCACGUCAUUCUCCUGCCUCAGCAUCCCGAGUAGCUGGGACUACAGGCGCCCGCCACUACGCCUGGCUAAUUUUUUGUAUUUUUAGUAGAGACGAGGUUUCACGUGUUAGUCAGGAUGGUCUCGAUCUUCUGCCCUCAGGUAAUCCACCCGCCUUGGCCUCCCAAAGUGCUGGGAUUACAGGUGUGAGCCACCAUGCCCAGCCAGAAACUGCCACUUUUAAACCAUCAGAUCUCAUUGAGAACUCCCUCACUAUCACGAGAACCGCAUGAGGGAAACCACCCCCAUGAUCUGAUCACCUCCCACCAGGUCCUGCCCUCAACAUGUGGGGAUUACAAUUCAAGAUGAGAUUUGGGUCAGGAAACAGAGCCAAACCAUAUCAAGAGCCUCUGGUAACCACUGUUCUACUCAAUACUUCUAUGAGGUGAACUUCUUUGGAUUCCACAUAUGAUCAAGAUCAUGAGGAAGGAGGAGCAAGUCUUCUUUGUCAUGCUAUUAAGAAAAUACCCAGAGUCACAGCACCAUGAUCUCCUUGUGAAGCAGAACAAGUAAUAUAAAACUGAUCUAAAGAGGCCUCCCCUCUACUCUUAUCUGUCUGGUCGAGUCAUUUGGGUCCAAGUGGGCACCAUUGUGGGAGGGUGGGAGGACUCAUCACUGGGGGCCCAGGCAUCAUUGGCAUGUGGCCUCCUGUGUUAGUUUGUUCUCAUGCUGCAAAUAAAGACAACUUGAGACUGGAUAAUUUAUAAAGGAAAGAGGUUUAAUGGACUCACAGUUCCACAUGGCUAAGGAGUACUCACAAUCAUGGCGGAAGACAAAGGAAGAGCAAAGGGACAUCUUACAUGGCAGCAGGCAAGAGAGCGUGUGCAGGGGAAGUCCCCUUUAUAAAACCAUCAGAUCUCAUGAGACUUAUUCACUAUCGCGAGAACAGCAUGAGAAAAACCCACCCCCAUGAUUCAAUUACCUCCCACCGUGUCCCUCCCAUGUCAUGUGAAGAUUAUUACAACUCAAGGUCACAGGAACCUUGAUCUGUGCUUGCUGCAAGGAUCAUCAAACAUAGAGCGG
rnacentral:lncRNA from 10 species